rnacentral:rRNA from 1 species
CAAGUAGCGGAGCAUGUGGUUUAAUUCGAAGCAACGCGAAGAACCUUACCUAAGCUUGACAUCCCAAUGACAUCUCCUUAAUCGGAGAGUUCCCUUCGGGGACAUUGGUGACAGGUGGUGCAUGGUUGUCGUCAGCUCGUGUCGUGAGAUGUUGGGUUAAGUCCCGCAACGAGCGCAACCCUUGUCUUUAGUUGCCAUCAUUAAGUUGGGCACUCUAGAG